rnacentral:rRNA from 1 species
GACGAACGCUGGCGGCGUGCCUAAUACAUGCAGGUAGAACGCACAGUUUAUACCGUAGCUUGCUCCACCAUAGACUGUGAGUUGCGAACGGGUGAGUAACGCGUAGGUAACCUGCCUGGUAGCGGGGGAUAACUAUUGGAAACGAUAGCUAAUACCGCAUAAUAUUAAUUAUUGCAUGAUAAUUAAUUGAAAGGUGCAAUUGCACCACUACCAGAUGGACCUGCGUUGUAUUAGCUAGUAGGUGAGGUAACGGCUCACCUAGGCGACGAUACAUAGCCGACCUGAGAGGGUGAUCGGCCACACUGGGACUGAGACACGGCCCAGACUCCUACGGGAGGCAGCAGUAGGGAAUCUUCGGCGAUGGACGAAAGUCUGACCGAGCAACGCCGCGUGAGUGAAGAAGGUUGUCGGAUCGUAAAGCUCGGUUGUAAGAGAAGAACGGGUGUGAGAGUGGAAAGUUCACACUGUGACGGUAUCUUACCAGAAAGGGACGGCUAACUACGUG